UUCUCUUGUAGCUUCUUCGAUCCCCACCAGCAUCCUUAUCCAUCCGAUGCACCACCUCUUCCGAUUAGCCGUUUGUUGAAGAUUUCGUUGCUCGCCACCACAGAACCAAUUCCCAAUCCAUCUCCACUUCUCCAUUCAUUUCUUUGAAUCUCUUCCGUUACUGGCGCAGUUGGUGGUUGCGCGGAGUACGCAGACGCGUUCGUCUUGUUCUCAAGGGUGUGGAUCCUUGACCUCGUCGAGUCCGACGGAGUGGCCAUGCUGCGGAGUGGCCAUGGGGAGUAGCAGGGAAAACACGGGGCUGCAUUGCUCAAGCUCGUCAUGGCCGUCGGCUAAGCCAUGGCAGAUUUGCUGUAGUUUGGCCUCAUGGAGGAGGCUGUGUGGGAACCAAUUGGUGGGAACUCACCAAGUCGCCUACUGAUGAUGAAUUGUUAGAUCUGACAUCCGAGGUACGGGACAGAGUUUGGGUUUUCUGAUAUUGUCCUCAUAGGUAUUACAGUGGCAAUGGUGAAACCUUAGUAUAAUUAGAUUAUGGAAUACAAAUAGCAGCACACGACCGUGAGAUGCUGGCCUUUUCAUUUCUGGUGCUGUCAGACUACUACCACACGUAAGUGCCAACUGAUGAUAUGCAUCAUAUGUAAUGAAGAUUAUUUCCUGUACUUUAUUUGUAGCAGUGUUGUACUACAUAGUAUUUUAAUUUGCUCUUAGCAAGAAAUAAUCUAUUCAUGAUGCCUUUUCUUUUAAAAAAGGCUUUAUGAACCGGAAGUUGGUUAUUAUGUGUCAAUAAUUUGGCCAUAUGAGAUAGAUGCUUUCUUACCAAGAAUAAUUAACUGAAAGAAGUGCAUGUUUGAAUGUAUUUCUAAAAUUUACAAUAUGAAUUGCUUUUGAUAGUGUUGUAUUCAUGUAUUUUCGUGAUAUUUAAGUUUUUAAAAACCUUUUUCAAAAAUUAGUUUGAUGGAUUAUACUACUAUUGGUAAUUAGAUUACCUUUUGUGUGUUAAUAUGUCACCUUGGAUAGUAAUUUGGGUAUAGGUUUGUUGAGCAGAAGCUUACAUAUUGAAUUUUCUCAAGUAACUUCCGGUCACCCUAUCAAGUUACCGAGAAACAAUCUUCCAGUUGCCAACAAUUUUUAGUGACCUAAGCAAUUAGUGUGAUUUGAUACUAUAUUUGCUUUGCUGCUAAGUCUAAAUGUGGGAACUUUGUUUUUGGUCAGAAUUGUGCCGCUGGGCAAAGCUAGCGUUAUGUACAUAUCCGGUUGUGCUAUGAAGUUACUAGAGUAAGAUCUCAGUCUCCUUUUAUUGCCACUACGGAGCUGACGUGAUGACGAUGACGAUCUUUUGUCUUGCUGCUUGUCUUUCUUUAAUGUGGAUUCAUUGCUGUCAUAUGGCUCCUCUUUCACAGGCACCAGUUUGCAGGAAGGUCUAACUCAUUCUCGCAAAAAUUGAUGAUACCAUUUAUUGAAAUUCUGAUGAAUUACCUGGUCUUGCUGGUUUUCGUGCCUCAUUUUAGUAAGUUCUUGCAAUGUUCUCCGCCUGUAAAACAUUUGUUCUUCUAGUGUUCCCUGAUUACUUCUAUCUAUACUCAUCAUUUUUGGUAAGGUUACUUGUGUUGAGUCCCUGCACAUAUAUAAAACAAAUAAUAAUAUAUACAAUCUUGAAUCAACAUGAGUCACUAUUCAUGAGUGGGAAUUUUUAAUUGGUAGUGUUUCAUACCUUUCAAGAAGUUCUUGUGCUUCUGGUAUGUCCAGAUCUAUAUAUAUUCUUGUGGCACUGGUUGACUUUAGGCACAAACCUAUUUAAUUAACCAAUUAGAAUUUUUAAAUGAUAAGAGCAGCAUCUAAGAUUUAUGGACUUACCAUUGAAUCUCUGCACCAUCGUUGAUGUAAUAAUAAUGACAGUUUGGCUGCCAAUUACAUCCUCGGUCAAAAAGUAAGCAAACUUUCCCCAUAACGUGAUUAUGAUUUUAUCACCCCUAAAGAAUUUAAUUCGAGAAGUUAGUGUUAACCACAUGGGGCAUGCGUAGUUAAAUUUCAGACAUACAUAUGCAUAUGCACUUACUCUGGCAUUAGUAUUUCAAUCUCGCGGAUAUAUGAAGGUUGUGGGCUCUUUUUUGUUAUUCUUGUCUCCACGGGCUUCAUUUUUGUUAGAAGUCUAAUGACAUCUGUAUAUUUGGAAAUUAGUAAUAUAACAAUUAGAAAUAUCAAUUAUUUGGAAGCCGUAAUUACAACUAUAAACAUACCUGAGCAUUGUGUAUCUUUUCCUGCCCUUUCUUCGAGUGUCUCCAUGGUAGCAAACUCGAAGCAAUAGUCCGGAAAAACUUCUGAAGAUCCUUUUAUCUCCUUUACCUUUGUAUUGUAUGCAAAAAAUAUUUUAAUUUCAUUGCUCACUGGCCUAUAUUUUGUGGAUUCCACAACCUUAAAAUUGCUGAAUCCGUAAAUAGACUUCUCAUUGAUCUUUGAUCUAAAAGUAUCUAUUAGAUUCUUCCAGAUAGUAGCAUGAAUUGUUUCACCCUGUAAAAACAAUCAAUUAUGGUUAGUAACUGUUGCUUAAUCUGAAAAAAAAUCCAAUUAACUAUAUUGAAAAACAGACCUGCUCAUCCAUGAGUAUCAUAUCUAGGCUAAUAAGCUCAUCGGUAGUAGGAUUAACUGAAUCCCAAAUCCUCAUUACUUUCACUUGAAUGUUCCAGUUUUGUCCCCUUGUAGUUAAUUCGCUCAACUUUGUGUAUGCCAUAGUCUUAUGUCUUCAAAAUUAAUAGGAAAAAAUUAGUCAAUGGAUAUAGUAUUUAUGAAGAUCCUAUCCAUAAAAAAGGUUGUUAAAUAACAAUUACCAAGUCUGGUAAUUCAGCCCAGAAGUUCUUUGUCGUCACUUCUUCCGACGUUGAUUGGAGCAGCUGGGCGUGGCUUUGUCGGGUGUCGGCGGGCUUUGGCGUGACUUCCACCAACGUCAAGUGAAGCGGUUGGAGAUGACUUGUCGACUUCAAGCUGUGCGGACGGCGAGGCGUGUGUUUCGUCUGGCGUGUUUCAAGAUGUGGUGGUCGUCGAUUUCUAAUUGUUUGCUGCGUGCUUGUGUGGCCGGCUGCACUUAUUUAUAUGGGUUGAGGUGGCUGGGUUGACGUGGCGGAGACCGUGUGGAGAUCUUGUACGUAUUCGUUCCUGUCUUGGAACUUUCAUCACGUGAGGUCUGGUGGGUUUCCUUAUUUGAUUAGGUUUCUUAUUUAAGUAGGUUUGACUACUAUUUUUGCUCCUUGACCCAUUGAUGGAAAUAUUCUCUUUUUGUUUUUGCGGCUUAACAUGUCAGGCUAGUUGAUGUCACGACGGACACACUAUAUUUGUACAUGACGUGUUGUACUACUUGUACAUGUGAAUAUUUUUACGUAAUAUGUGAACAUGGA